rnacentral:rRNA from 1 species
CUGGUAGUCCAUGCCAUAAACGUUGGGCACUGGUGUUCCGAGCCUUGAGCUUGGAGUGCCGUAGCUAACGCGUUAAGUGCCCCGCCUGGGGAGUACGACCGCAAGGUUGAAACUCAAAGGAAUUGACGGGGGCCCGCACAAGCGGUGGAGCAUGUGGUUUAAUUCGACGCAACGCGAAGAACCUUACCCAGGUUGGACAUGCUCGUGGUACGAACCCGAAAGGGUGAGGACUCUGAAAGGAGAGCGAGCUCAGGUGCUGCAUGGCUGUCGUCAGCUCGUGCCGUGAGGUGUUGGGUUAAGUCCCGCAACGAGCGUAACCCCUGUCUUCAGUUGCCAUCGGGUCAUGCCGAGCACUCUGGAGAGACUGCCCAGGAUAACGGGGAGGAAGGUGGGGAUGACGUCAAGUCAGCAUGGCCUUUAUGCCUGGGGCUACACACGUGCUACAAUGACCGGUACAAAGGGUUGCAAUCCCGUAAGGGGGAGCCAAUCUCAAAAAACCGGCCUCAGUUCAGAUUGAGGUCUGCAACUCGACCUCAUGAAGGUGGAAUCGCUAGUAAUCGCGGAUCAGCACGCCGCGGUGAAUACGUUCCCGGGCCUUGUACACACCGCCCGUCACACCACGAAAGUCAGCUGUACCAGAAGUCACUGGCGCCAACCCGCAAGGGAGGCAGGUGCCCAAGGUAUGGUUGGUAAUUGGGGUGAAGUCGUAACAAGGUA